UACGUAGGGACCAAGCGUUGUCCGGAAUCAUUGGGCGUAAAGAGCGUGUAGGCGGCUUGUUAAGUCUUGUGUGAAAUCUCGGGGCUCAACCCCGAGCGGUCGUGAGAAACUGGCAGGCUAGAGUGCGGGAGAGGAGAGUGGAAUUCCUGGUGUAGCGGUGAAAUGCGCAGAUAUCAGGAAGAACACCCGUGGCGAAGGCGGCUCUCUGGAACGCAACUGACGCUGAGACGCGAAAGCGUGGGGAGCAAACAGG
rnacentral:rRNA from 1 species